rnacentral:rRNA from 1 species
CAGCAGUAAGGAAUAUUGGGCAAUGGACGAAAGUCUGACCCAGCCAUGCCGCGUGGAGGAUGAAGGUCCUCUGGAUUGUAAACUUCUUUUAUCUGGGAAGAAACCCACGGUUUCCACUGUGGUUGACGGUACCAGAUGAAUAAGCACCGGCUAACUCCGUG